GGUUUUACGCAUUUAAAGAUUUUAAACCAAUGCAAACUGUAAUAUUAAUCUAAUGGUUUUUACAAGCUUUGUAAAAUAAAUAGAUCAUUAUUAAAUGUAACGUUUAAUGUUUUAUUUAACGUUAUUUUUGUGAGUAAAGCGCACCUGCACACGAGAAUCAGAAAAGACGCGUCUCCUUUUGCUCCUUUAAUGCAAAGUGAAAACGGAUUCAGAUAAACUAAACUGAGAUCCAUGUGACACACUAUUAUAAAGAUGGCGUUUAUUAAAGAGGAGAGUGAAGACGUAAAGAUUGAAGAAACAUUCAGAGUCAAACUUGAAGAUACUGAGAUACAGACAGACCUGGUGGCCUUGAAAGAGGAGAGUCCAGAACUGAAUAAUGUGAAAGAAGAGAAGCAUCUGUAUGAGAAACAUCAUAAUUUUAUAACUGCAAACCAAUAUUUUAGUUG